rnacentral:misc_RNA from 1 species
GAUGAAGAACGCAGCGAAAUGCGACAAGUAAUGUGAAUUGCAGAAUUCAGUGAAUCAUCGAAUCUUUGAACGCACAUUGCGCCCGUCAGUAUUCUGGCGGGCAUGCCUGUUCGAGCGUCAUUACGCCCCUCAAGUCCCCUGUGGACUUGGUGUUGGGGAUCGGCGAGGCUGGUUUUCCAGCACAGCCGUCCCUUAAAUUAAUUGGCGGUCUCGCCGUGGCCCUCCUCUGCGCAGUAGUAAAACACUCGCAACAGGAGCCCGGCGCGGUCCACUGCCGUAAAACCCCCCAACUUUUUAUAGUUGACCUCGAAUCAGGUAGGACUACCCGCUGAACUUAAGCAUAUCAAUAAGCGGAGGA